UACGUAGGGGGCAAGCGUUGUCCGGAAUCAUUGGGCGUAAAGAGCGUGUAGGCGGCUCGAUAAGUCUGCUGUGAAAGUCCAGGGCUCAACCCUGGAAGGCCGGUGGAAACUGUCGGGCUAGAGUCCGGAAGAGGCGAGUGGAAUUCCCGGUGUAGCGGUGAAAUGCGCAGAUAGUCGGGAGGAACACCAAUGGCGAAGGCAGCUCGCUGGGACGGUACUGACGCUGAGACGCGAAAAGCGUGGGGAGCAAACAGG
rnacentral:rRNA from 1 species